rnacentral:lncRNA from 1 species
UGAAUUUCUAAAAAUAUUUCCCCAAAACAAGAUAGAAUUAGUAUUGAUUGAAGAUUAGAUUUGUAAUACCUGCAACGCCUGUACGUACAAUAAACAUAGCAGCAUCUAUAAAUAUACCAAUGUGACCAACUUCAAUUCGUCGCAACUGCGAGCAACCUCGAUACUAAAAAGUAAAAUCACAAAAAUUUAAAUGCCAAACUUUAUAUAAUACCAUUAAACCCCACCCGAAGAAACCGCAAAAACUUCCCUCGUGUCUUAUGCACCUAACAUCAAACUUCAUGAAUAGUACAUACUGUUGCAGAACCAGUAUCCUGAACUAAUUAUACUAGUUCCCAUCUAUAGAUAAUUAUUACAAAUAGCAAACGGGACAAAC